GACAUGGCCAAACACGCUGGGACGUGCCAUACGUGAAAGGCAGUCAUGUAAGAGAAGCGAGAACGCUCAAUGAGGGCAGUAAAAGGAUCAUAAGAACCCAUGCCCACUUUGGCUUCCAUAUCCAAGAGACCAAGCCACCCUCAACGGGCCAAACAAUCAACAAAUGCUCAUUGACUAUAUGGAUCAAAGAGGGUGCUACAUGGUUCAUCCAACAUUGCGRGUGCAACGCUUGAUGAAAAAGGUACAUUUUUUUUAUCAAAACUAUGCCGUUGAUCAGGUAUGCAACACAUGAAACCCACAUAUACGAUCAAGACGAUACAAGCCUUGCCGUAAAACUGAAAAGGAAUGUACGCGU
rnacentral:misc_RNA from 1 species